rnacentral:lncRNA from 1 species
CUGUCGCCACCAAACCUCAUGUUGACAUUUUCUUCCCAGUGUGGCAGUGUUGAGAGGUGGGGCCUAGUGGGAGGUGUCUGGGUCAUGGAGGUGUAUCCCUCAUGAACACUUAGUGCUGCUCUCAAGUUAGUGAGUUCUAGCUUUGGCAAGACUGAAUUAGUUCUUGUGGAAAUGGAGUAGUUUCCUCGAGAGUUAUAAUUCAACUGAAGGUUUAGCAUAAAUUAAAUUUGGUGGAGUUUAAAUUAACCAACCACUAUAAAAAUGCUAAUAUUUUCACAAAAUAACUCAUCUGGUUGAGUCACACAGCACAACAAAAUAUUCUCAGCCUAAUAUAUAUAUAUAUAUAUAUAUAUACACAUAUGCCUUAUAUAUAUAUAUAUAAUAUAUAUACACACACACACUAUGUCAU